AACGAACGCUGGCGGCAGGCUUAACACAUGCAAGUCGAGCGCCCCGCAAGGGGAGCGGCAGACGGGUGAGUAACGCGUGGGAAUCUACCCAUCUCUACGGAAUAACGCAUGGAAACGUGUGCUAAUACCGUAUAAGUCCUUCGGGAGAAAGAUUUAUCGGAGAUGGAUGAGCCCGCGUUGGAUUAGCUAGUUGGUGGGGUAAAGGCCUACCAAGGCGACGAUCCAUAGCUGGUCUGAGAGGAUGAUCAGCCACACUGGGACUGAGACACGGCCCAGACUCCUACGGGAGGCAGCAGUGGGGAAUAUUGGACAAUGGGCGCAAGCCUGAUCCUGCCAUGCCGCGUGAGUGAUGAAGGCCCUAGGGUUGUAAAGCUCUUUCACCGGUGAAGAUAAUGACGGUAACCGGAGAAGAAGCCCCGGCUAACUUCGUGCCAGCCGCCGCAGUAACAC
rnacentral:rRNA from 1 species